rnacentral:rRNA from 1 species
UCGCCUGUUUAUCAAAAACAUGUCUGUUUGGAGGUUUAAAGAGUCUAGCCUGCCCACUGAGUAGAAAGUAGUUAAAGGGCCGCGGUAUUUUGACCGUGCAAAGGUAGCAUAAUCAUUAGUCUCUUAAUUGGAGGCGUGUCUGCCCGGUUGGACAAAGAAAAAGCUGUCUUUAUAAUAUAAUUUGAAUUUAACUUUUAAGUGAAAAGGCUUAAAUAGGCCAGGGGGACGAUAAGACCCUAUAAAACUUUAUAUGAGGUUAAGUUUGUUCAAAAUUAAUUAUAAAGAGCUGAGUUAAUAAUUGUAUUUUGUUGGGGCGACAUAGAUAUAAGUAUUUAUAGUAACUGUUUAAGUAUAAUACUAUAGAUUUGUGAGUUAUAAAAUAAAUGAUCCUUUUUAAAGAUUAAAAGAUUAAGUUACUUUAGGGAUAACAGCGUAAUUUUUUUUGAGAGCCCGUAUCGAAAAGAAAGUUUGCGACCUCGAUGUUGAAUUAAAAUAUCUAUAUAAUGUAGUUGUUAUAAAAGAAGGUCUGUUCGACCUUUAAAUUUUUACGUGAUCUGAGUUCAGACCAGAC